GCAAAAGUUGCAGCACAGUAUGUCACCAGAGAGGAACAGAAUAUCCUUGCUGUGCCAAGAAAGAAAAGACCAUGGAUCUACUAGUUGCAGAUUUCAGCAGUAAUGCCAAGGGGGCGAGAAGUGACCAGCAGAACAAUUAGGCCAUGGCAACAGAAGCCAACUACAACCCAUGUUCCAAUCUAUGACCUCCCUCUCCUGCUGGUACAAGGAUAUGGGCAAGAGCUGAUAAUCAACUGACUAAUGAGGAUUGACUUCUACAAUUGAUGAGCAUGGAAUUGGAUGUGCCUAAAUCAACAGAAGAGGGAUUUUGAUGUCAUCACACUGUAGCCCCAGAAGACAGAACGCUCAAAGGUGUCAAUGGGCAGAAUUUGUAGAUGACAUACAGCAUCCAAUGGAUUACUCCUAUUCAGUAUUCCUUAGAGCAAAGGAUGCAAUGUCAAGCAAGUUGUGAUACCUCAACUAUCUACAAUUUAACACCAAGGAAAGAACACUGUUUGGAGAAAUGAGAAAGAUUAUCAUCAGUGUCUUUCAGAAGUCAUCAAAGGAAGAAAAGGAGAAAAGAGAGGAGAAAGCAGAAAGAUCUGGAGUCUGGGAAGUUCAAGAGCAUGGCACCAGCAUCUGGCAAGGGCUUUCAUGCUGCAUCAUCUCAUGGAGGAAAAUAAAAGGGCAAGUGAGUGUGAGAGAGCAAGAGAGCAAGAAAAGGAAAGGGGGUCAAACUCACCCUUUUAUCACAAAAACACUCUAUCGAUAACAGCAUUGAUCCAUUCAUGAGGGAAGACCCCUCAUGACCUAGUCACCUCUUAAAGGUCCAACCUUUCAACACUGGUUGCAUUGGGGAUUAAGUUUCAACACAUGCUUUUUGGGUGGCAUAAUUAAACCAUAACACACUUGUUAUUAGGUCAGGAGAUUUCCCAAGGUCAGAACAGUGACAGAGCUAAGCCCUGAACUUUUGUGACCUUCAAACCAGGAUUGUUUCCACAAUUUGUCAUACAUGGAUAUUUAGAACAUGCUUUAGAAGUGGAGGAAAGAAUAAAAUAAUUUGAAGAUGGAGUACUCAAAAGCUGCGCCAGACAAGUCCAUUGAAACUGUCCUUCACCUAAAUUUGAAUUAAAAAAAUUGUUUUGGCAUUGUGUGAUUUGGUAA